AUUGAACGCUGGCGGCAGGCCUAACACAUGCAAGUCGAAUGGUAACAGGAAACAGCUUGCUGUUUCGCUGACGAGUGGCGGACGGGUGAGUAAUGUCUGGGAAACUGCCUGAUGGAGGGGGAUAACUACUGGAAACGGUAGCUAAUACCGCAUAACGUCGCAAGACCAAAGAGGGGGACCUUCGGGCCUCUUGCCAUCAGAUGUGCCCAGAUGGGAUUGGCUAGUAGGUGGGGUAACGGCUCACCUAGGCGACGAUCCCUAGCUGGUCUGAGAGGAUGACCAGCCACACUGGAACUGAGACACGGUCCAGACUCCUACGGGAGGCAGCAGUGGGGAAUAUUGCACAAUGGGCGCAAGCCUGAUGCAGCCAUGCCGCGUGUAUGAAGAAGGCCUUCGGGUUGUAAAGUACUUUCAGCGGGGAGGAAGGGAGUAAAGUUAAUACCUUUGCUCAUUGACGUUACCCGCAGAAGAAGCACCGGCUAACUCCGUG
rnacentral:rRNA from 1 species